rnacentral:rRNA from 1 species
CGUAACAAGGUCUCCGUUGGUGAACCAGCGGANGNAUCAUUACCGAGUUUACAACUCCCAAACCCCUGUGAACAUACCAAUUGUUGCCUCGGCGGAUCAGCCCGCUCCCGGUAAAACGGGGCGGCCCGCCAGAGGACCCCUAAACUCUGUUUCUAUAUGUAACUUCUGAGUAAAACCAUAAAUAAAUCAAAACUUUCAACAACGGAUCUCUUGGUUCUGGCAUCGAUGAAGAACGCAGCAAAAUGCGAUAAGUAAUGUGAAUUGCAGAAUUCAGUGAAUCAUCGAAUCUUUGAACGCACAUUGCGCCCGCCAGUAUUCUGGCGGGCAUGCCUGUUCGAGCGUCAUUUCAACCCUCAAGCCCAGCUUGGUGUUGGGACUCGCGAGUCAAAUCGCGUUCCCCAAAUUGAUUGGCGGUCACGUCGAGCUUCCAUAGCGUAGUAGUAAAACCCUCGUUACUGGUAAUCGUCGCGGCCACGCCGUUAAACCCCAACUUCUGAAUGUUGACCUCGGAUCAGGUAGGAAUACCCGCUGAACUUAAGCAUAUCA